rnacentral:rRNA from 1 species
AGUGAACGCUGGCGGUAGGCCUAACACAUGCAAGUCGAACGGCAGCACAGUAAGAGCUUGCUCUUACGGGUGGCGAGUGGCGGACGGGUGAGGAAUACAUCGGAAUCUACUUUUUCGUGGGGGAUAACGUAGGGAAACUUACGCUAAUACCGCAUACGACCUACGGGUGAAAGCAGGGGAUCUUCGGACCUUUCGCGAUUGAAUGAGCCGAUGUCGGAUUAGCUAGUUGGCGGGGUAAAGGCCCACCAAGGCGACGAUCCGUAGCUGGUCUGAGAGGAUGAUCAGCCACACUGGAACUGAGACACGGUCCAGACUCCUACGGGAGGCAGCAGUGGGGAAUAUUGGACAAUGGGCGCAAGCCUGAUCCAGCCAUACCGCGUGGGUGAAGAAGGCCUUCGGGUUGUAAAGCCCUUUUGUUGGGAAAGAAGAGCAGCAGGUUAAUACCCCGCUGUUCUGACGGUACCCAAAGAAUAAGCACCGGCUAACUUCGUG